rnacentral:rRNA from 1 species
AAUAGAUACCCGGGUAGUCCUAGCCGUAAACGAUACUCGCUAGGUGUCGGCCACGGUGCGACCGUUGUCGGUGCCGUAGGGAAGCCGUGAAGCGAGCCACCUGGGAAGUACGGCCGCAAGGCUGAAACUUAAAGGAAUUGGCGGGGGAGCACCACAACGGGUGGAGCUUGCGGUUUAAUUGGAUUCAACGCCGGAAAUCUUACCGGGACCGACAGCAAUAUGAAGGCCAGGCUGAAGACUUUGCCGGAUUAGCUGAGAGGUGGUGCAUGGCCGUCGUCAGUUCGUACUGUGAAGCAUCCUGUUAAGUCAGGCAACGAGCGAGACCCACGCCCACAGUUGCCAGCGUACUCUCUGGAGUGACGGGUACACUGUGGGGACCGCCGCUGCUAAAGCGGAGGAAGGAAUGGGCAACGGUAGGUCAGUGUGCCCCGAAUAUCCCGGGCUACACGCGAGCUACAAUGGUUGGUACAAUGGGUAUCUACCCCGAAAGGGGACGGGAAUCUCCUAAAACCAAUCUUAGUUCGGAUUGAGGGCUGCAACUCGCCCUCA